GGGCCCAUAGCUCAGCUUGGUAGAGCAGUGGACUCUUAAUCCACGUGUCGAGGGUUCGAACGGGACCCACUGUGAGAAAACCAGUGGUUUCCUUAAUCCCUCAAAAUCCCUCUGGGCCCG
rnacentral:tRNA from 1 species